AAAUGACGACGAUGAUGAUGAUGAUGAUGAUGAUAUAUAUAUAUAUAUAUAUAUAUAUAUAUAUAUCAUCAUCAUCAUCAUCAUCAUCAUCG
rnacentral:pre_miRNA from 1 species